CCUGUGUUGUGUGCCCUAUCUUUGCAGCCAAUUCCAAAAGAUCAUGACUGAAAAUCUGGAUUUAGCAAAACAAAAUGAACCCUUUGACUGCAGGCAAACAACGCAGAUUCAGCCAGUCACACUUGGAUCUAUAAAUGCCCGUAAAACAAAGAAAGCCUUGUGUCCGUACCUAACCCUAACCCAGAGAACCAAGAUCACGGCCGACCAUCGCAAUAUGGACACCAACAAGGCCACUCCUGAUUUGAAACCCAGUGCGCAACCACCAAGCCCUGAAGACUUGAUGGAAGCCCGUCGAGUGGAUGAAAGACCGCCUCCGUCAAGCCUGCUGCCCAGCUCUUUUGCCCGGGCCUCAGCACCUCCACAAACCUGCCGUCCUCCCACGAAAGCACUUUCUUCCUUCUGAUGAGGGUGUAAUGGGGCAGGAACUUCAGGUCGAGCUGGUCCAGGCCUUGGGUCAACGACUUGGCAACCUUGCCCGGUGGCUGCGGUCCCUGCAGCGCCCCCCGGCGGGUUCGAGAACGUCUUCAAAUAGCAGUCCUCGAGGAAGACCAUCCACAGUGCACCCCCCCAGCACCGGAACGGUCCCCUCGAUGGACUCACAAAAUAGGGUAGGCGGUAGGGGUUAGACAGUGUUUAAGGAUAUAUGUGGUAAUGGAACAGGUAGGGGUUAGACAGUGUUUGGUUUUCGGGACUGAAGCCCAGGUUCCCGACCCCAGGAUCUGAGGUCGGGACUCUAGAUGGUGAAGGGGGACGUCUGAACCCGCGUGGUGAGCGGGGACGUCGGCCCCUGGGCGGUGAAUAUGUAGGUCUCUCCCUGGGUGGGUAUAGGUGGUCUCUCUCCCUGGACCCCAGGGAAGGCCGUCUAUAUCUGGGUGGUGUUGGUGGACGCCAGGUCCUCGGUGGUGGGUCCUUGCAGGUGGUUCCGCGGUGGUGUAUCGGGGCGUCGGCCUCUCGGUGGUGAUAAUUGGAAUUCAUCUCUUCUCCGUGGAUAUUGCCAUUCCUCCGAUCGGGGAUAUUGUGGCCUACCUCGUGGGGGAUCAGAGGGAGCAGGGAGCCGUCACCGCCAGAGUGCCCAGGAGGCCGGGGCCCCGAGAGACCCCCCAUAAAGGGGUAGUCGGCGCAGCAAACGGGUCGAUAACAACACUUCUAGUUAAAAUGG
ensembl:lncRNA